rnacentral:tRNA from 2 species
GAGCUCUUGGUCUAGUGGCUAUGACUCCUCGUUGACGUCGAGGCGAUCCCCGGUUCGAGUCCGGGAGGGCUCA